rnacentral:rRNA from 1 species
AUUGAACGCUGGCGGCAGGCCUAACACAUGCAAGUCGAGCGGAUGAAGGGAGCUUGCUCCUGGAUUCAGCGGCGGACGGGUGAGUAAUGCCUAGGAAUCUGCCUGGUAGUGGGGGAUAACGUCCGGAAACGGGCGCUAAUACCGCAUACGUCCUGAGGGAGAAGGUGGGGGAUCUUCGGACCUCACGCUAUCAGAUGAGCCUAGGUCGGAUUAGCUAGUUGGUGGGGUAAAGGCCUACCAAGGCGACGAUCCGUAACUGGUCUGAGAGGAUGAUCAGUCACAUUGGAACUGAGACACGGUCCAGACUCCUACGGGAGGCAGCAGUGGGGAAUAUUGGACAAUGGGCGAAAGCCUGAUCCAGCCAUGCCGCGUGUGUGAAGAAGGUCUUCGGAUUGUAAAGCACUUUAAGUUGGGAGGAAGGGCAGUAAGUUAAUACCUUGCUGUUUUGACGUUACCAACAGAAUAAGCACCGGCUAACUUCGUG